rnacentral:rRNA from 1 species
CCGGCGCACGGGUGAGUAACACGUACCCAACCUGCCGUCUACUCUUGGACAGCCUUCUGAAAGGAAGAUUAAUACAAGAUGGCAUCAUGAGUUCACAUGUUCACAUGAUUAAAGGUAUUCCGGUAGACGAUGGGGAUGCGUUCCAUUAGAUAGUAGGCGGGGUAACGGCCCACCUAGUCUUCGAUGGAUAGGGGUUCUGAGAGGAAGGUCCCCCACAUUGGAACUGAGACACGGUCCAA